UCUGCGCUCCGGAACUGCAUGGACGAGUUAAGAGUGCCCAUGUUGCUCAGCUUCUCAGACACAUUCAUUCCAGAGUCUUUGCUGAGGCAGAGCUCUCUAAGGAGAUGUUUAAGAAUGGGCCAGGUGGCAAAGUCUCAGCAUUUUCCACUCAUUACAUAUUGCAAGGAUCAGCAAUUUGCCAUUCCUGGUCAUAGACAACAUGCCUUUGGAUUGCAAUGGCCCAUUAUCACCCCUGCUACUGAUUAUUCCUGUCUCCUACUGGGGCCUCCAACUUCCUCUUCCGUGACAAAACCUAAAGCAGUGUUACGAGCACUUUGCAAAAUUACUUGGCAAUAUUUACUAAAGCUAAAUACACAUAUACGUAUAUGAAUUAUAAAUAAAGCCGCUCUGAAUA
ensembl:lncRNA PRICKLE2-AS1 PRICKLE2 antisense RNA 1